GUCUAUAGCUGUAAGGAGGACAAAGAAACUCAAAAAAUAAAAACUCAAUAUCUUAAUGCUAGAGUAUACAGAGGAAGCGAAACUUAAAUGACACAGGUAAAUUAUUAACGCGACGUCUUAUAUCAAUGAUAAUAUAUAAUGUGUAAAUUUUUAUAUUUACAUGCCAUUAUAUUAUUGACACGAAAUGUCAUAGUAACGCUUUACUUGUGCGAUGUCAUGUAAGUUGCUGUAGAGGAUGAGGGAUAGAGAGAGGGAUAGCUAGAGGUGCAUAAAAGCUAUCAUUUAUACAGAGAUGAGGGAAGCUAGCUAGCUAGAUAGAAUAAUCUAGAGAGAGAGAGCCAGUAGGAUUGUCACGAGGCUCCUCCCUCUUUCUCUUACCUAAAAUAUGCACGCCUCUCUAUAUGUAGGCUAAGCUGAGAGUGAAAUUCUGAAAAGCUUCAGCUGUUUCCUUAAAAAGUUCCAACGAAGGCCAAACCUUUAUGCAGCUUCUUGGUUCAUCUUUCUUCCCUUGUCUGGUUUGUUGGUUUGAGAGCUUGAAGCUGCCAGCAUGAUCUGGUAUACAUAACUAUAGCUAUCACAUAUAUGUAUAUAUAUCAAUGGUGUUCCGCAUAUAUAUACUUUAGAUCUUGCACCACCAUUUUUUAUUUAUACAGAUCUUGAUUAUUUCAUGUUUUUGGAUAAAAGGGUUUUUAAUUUUUAGUCAAUUAACCAAGAGAGUAAUUGGCAUCCUGCUAAUUACAAUUUUUUCUUUUUCUUUUUCAAUAAAAAAUUAUACAGAUUGAUCAGAAGCCUGUUUUUAAAAUCUUGUAUUCAUAUUUUCAAUUAGCUAGAUAUAACACACACACACACACACACAUAUAUAUAUAUAGGAUAUUCAACCAGGUCAUCUGGCAGCUUCAAUCACUCACUCAUCAACAAUAGAAAAUGUUUCUGAACUAAGAACACAAGGUCUCUUGUGGUGAAGGAUUACACUCAUCCCAAGACAGCUUUGUUUGAGCCUCCCUAAAGCAUGUAUCAAUGCACCUGAAUUAAUCAUCUGAAUCCUCCGAACUUGGAUCAGAAUCGGAAGCCUAGGAAGUCCUGGAAGCCUCCUUGAUCCAGAGUCCCUCCACCUCUUCUUCCCAUGGCGCGUGACCUGGAACCAUCCUUUGAUCCCUUUGAUUUCCAAAAUUCACCUUCAUCAUCCGAUUUGUCGCCUAAAACCCUAAAUGCACAGUGUCCACUUUUUCCCACAGAAAAAGGCCCCACAAGUUCUCCACUGCCAUCAUCCUGUGACAAGGAUUACAAAUUGAUAUUUUAUACUACUCUAAUUUACGGAGUGAGGAAUUCAAACAAAUUGUAGACACUAUACGAAAUGAAGAUUACCACUGUAAUUCCCUAUAUUGGCACAUUUACCAAGAAAAGAAACUAGCAAAGAAAGAACUUACAAGGUUUCUUAUUAUGAAUUCUACCUUUCUGCACAUCCACCAAAAGUAGAACAGCUUGAUCUUCUUGUGCACAGCACAUGAAAAGGGCCAACAACCUCUAUCUCCACCACAGCCAUUUCUUCUCCUUCAUCAGUGAUUGGUUUCCCUCCACUUCUUAUGCAUUUUGCUUAGCAAAUUCAGAGUUAUGUGAGAGACAAAUAAAACUCAAGGACUAAACUAGCUAGCAAGAACUUACAGUUAAGGGUCUAUGAUAUUGGGCAUCUUCAUCAUACCUGCACACAAAUACAAUGGAAGAUGAUCAUCUUCCAAAAUCUCUCUGUUACAUUUUUUGCGAUCAACUCGGAUGUGGUAACGGAGGGAAGGGUUCUCCAAGCCGCGUUCUGGUCACUGAAAUGUACAGAAUGAGCCGGCGAGUUCUUGGCAUAGUGCCUAGUUUGCAGUGCAAAAUGUACCUUAACCAACACUUGUGACCUCUCUCUCUCUCUCUCUCUCUCUCUCUCUCUCUCUCUCAAUGAGUACUUCAAAGCACCUGCAUAUGGGGACUCAUAAUUCUGCUUCUUAUUGGGGCUCCAUUUAUUAGUGAAAGAGAUCAAACAAUUUUAAACAAUUAAGCUAGCUUCCCCUAAACUGCACGGUAAUAAUGGAGGGCUCCAACGACUCAUUAAUCCUUCUGUGUAUGUAACAUGUUAUUUUGCCGAAUUUCCACUGCCAUUUCUUCUUUCUCUUCCCCCUUUAUGGAGUUCUUUUCCUUGGACCAUGCAUCAAGAAAUGGACUGCAGUUGGCUUCUGAAAACGGUAAAAACCUGCUACACUGUGUUCCUGGAAAUAGCAAAACCUUGCCACGCCAUCCAUGUCAACUUUUUUUUUUUUUGUUCUUCUUCUUCUUCUUGCUUUCUUCAAUGAAAGGGUUAGGUGUGAAAACCCCAAUGAAGAUCUUCAACUCCUUUCGGUUCUAGUAUUCACAUAUUUUCAUUUCUAGGGUUGCACAAGUUCUUUGGUGAGCAUUUGGAUUUGUAGUGCUUAAUUAGAAAUAUUGAUCUUUUUGCUGCCCUUGCAUGCAUUUCAGAAGGCUGUGAAAUACAAAUGAAAAUGCCUAUAGAAGUUGAAGUACCCACCAAAGUCACAUGUUUUCCAUCUCUUCCUCCUUUGUCUUCUUUCUGGUACAAGAUCAAUAUUCUUUAUUUAUUUAUUGAAAACAAGAUGAAUAUUCAAGCAGAAAAACACGACAUGAUCACACAUACCUCCAUCCAACCUAAAUAUUUGAUUUGAUCCAGGAAUUUUUAUGAAUUAGGGCUUCCAGUUUU